CAAGUGAUAUGCAGUUCAGAGGUAGUGAUGGAGAGAGCUUUUUUUUAUGAGUUCUUCAACUUCUUUAUUAAAUGUCCUUCCCUACAAAAUCAAAUUCAUACACAACCCAUUGAUGUCUAACAAACUAGGAAUCUUACACAUUCAUCAAUUUCACCAUCAAUCAACAAUCAAACACCAAAUUGUGAAGGAUAAUAAUAAUCUACUUUUGGGUUUGUAAUCUAGCAGUCUGAUGCUAAUAACGCUAGCAAGUUACACCGAUGAUCACUGUUAUGGUUGCCGAUGAUAACAUCGAAUUGCUUCAAUUUAUUCAACGGUUUCUCUUUUGCCAUAUCUUUUGGUGUUGCUUCCCAUGUUUGAAAUUCGUCGGUACCAGAAGCAGAUCGAAGAAAAUCCUGGUUCUCCCAUGGAUGAGAGCUCAUAUAAAUGUUAAUCACAUUCUACUAGAACAUCUCGAUCCCAGGCUUGGUUUAUAUGAAAUUCUGGGUAAUUCGGUGUUCAUGCAAUUGGAUCAAGGUCAUGAUGAAAUCGAAAACUAUACCUCAACAAAUUUGAGAAACUUUUUUAGCUCGAUAAAUUUUGGUGUGUAAAAGUAGGAAACAAAUUGAGGAUUCUGAAACACGGUUGUCAUCAUCGUCAAUUUCAUGUUGAUUGUAAAAUUUGUUCUGUUGCCGACAGUCGAAUCGCGGGAGAUGAUGAAGAUUUGGAUUAGAUAGGAAACGAAGAAGAAGACUAUUGAUAUCGAACUUCUGGAUCGUGAGCGGUCCACAUGGUUGAGCAUUGUUUUUAGGUGUGAGGGUAUUUUGGGCAGUUUAUUGGAAAGGUAUUUGUUUUUGCCACAAGCGCACAGGUGCUGACUCAGCUAACCAGACAAUGGAUGGAAAAACUAACGAUGGGAGGAAACACUAGUUUUAAUCUAUUUGGAGAGAAAACGCUAAUUAGCAAUCUUGGGAGGUGAGGAAACACAAAAUUGCCCUUUAGUUAAAGUGAUGUAAUUUUGAAGCUCGAAAACUAGAAUUUCAUUCAGCAUUACCAAGAGCCCUAUCAAUCCUUGAUCCCCUUUUAUACCAGUACCUAAAUUAUUGUUUGUUCAAGUAUGCUCUCAUGACUAUUAUAUCCCUCAGUUACGGGCCACCCCAGAGUCUGCCAAUAGAGUCUUGUGUGAGUGCUUUUGUAGUUCAGGUAGGUUUUUAGUUUAAUUUGAGGGUGACCAUUAGGAUGUCAACACGCGUCUAUCAACCAGAUAUGUUAGAUUAGGGUUCAAUCAUUCGCCUUAAAAGAUGUAAGAAGAGUCUUUUUCUCUAUUUUUUUGUCUGAAUCAUUGGAUUUAGGAGGUGUUAUCA